rnacentral:rRNA from 1 species
GGCGGCUUACNACAUGCAGUCGAGCGGUAACAUUUCUAGCUUGCUAGAAGAUGACAAGCGGCGGACGGGUGAGUAAUACUUAGGAAUCUACCUAGUAGUGGGGGAUAGCUCGGGGAAACUCGAAUUAAUACCGCAUACCACCUACGGGAGAAAGGGGGCAACUUGUUGCUCUCGCUAUUAGAUGAGCCUAAGUCGGAUUAGCUAGAUGGUGGGGUAAAGGCCUACCAUGGCGACGAUCUGUAGCUGGUCUGAGAGGAUGACCAGCCACACUGGAACUGAGACACGGUCCAGACUCCUACGGGAGGCAGCAGUGGGGAAUAUUGCACAAUGGGCGCAAGCCUGAUGCAACCAUGCCGCGUGUAUGAAGAAGGCCUUCGGGUUGUAAAGUACUUUCAGCGGGGAGGAAGGGGAUGAGGUUAAUAACCUCGUUCAUUGACGUUACCCACAGAAGAAGCACCGGCUAACUCCGUGCCAGCAGCCGCGGUAAU